UUGACUGUAGGUUUGUUAGUGGUUAUCUUGGCUGUAGGUUUGUUAGUGGUUAUCUUGGCUGUGUAGGUUUGUUAGGGGUUAUCUUUGCUGUAGGUUUGUUAGUGGUUAUCUUGGCUGUAGGUUUGUUAGUGGUUAUCUUGGCUGUAGGAUUGUUAGUGGUUAUCUUGGCUGUGUAGGUUUGUUAGUGGUUAUCUUGGCUGAAGGUUUGUUAGUGGUUAUCUUGGCUGUGUAGGUUUGUUAGGGGUUAUCUUGGCUGUAGAUUUGUUAGUGGUUAUCUUGGCUGUAGGAUUGUUAGUGGUUAUAUUGGCUGUGUAGGUUUGUUAGUGGUUAUCUUGGCUGUAGGUUUGUUAGUGGUUAUCUUGGCUGUGUAGGUUUGUUAGGGGUUAUCUUGGCUGUAGGUUUGUUAGUGGUUAUCUUGGCUGUAGGUUUGUUAGUGGUUAUCUUGGCUGUAGGUUUGUUAGUGGUUAUCUUGGCUGUGUAGGUUUGUUAGUAGUUAUCUUGGCUGUAGGUUUGUUAGUGGUUAUCUUGGCUGUAGGUUUGUUAGUGGUUAUCUUGGCUGUGUAGGUUUGUUAGGGGUUAUCUUGGCUGUAGGUUUGUUAGUGGUUAUCUUGGCUGUAGGUUUGUUAGUGGUUAUCUUGGCUGUAGGUUUGUUAGUGGUUAUCUUGGCUGUAGGUUUGUUAGUGGUUAUCUUGGCUGUAGGUUUGUUAGUGGUUAUCUUGGCUGUGUAGGUUUGUUAGUGGUUAUCUUGGCUGUAGGUUUGUUAGUGGUUAUCUUGGCUGUGUAGGUUUGUUAGUGGUUAUCUUGACUGUAGGUUUGUUAGUGGUUAUCUUGGCUGUAGGGUUGUUAGUGGUUAUCUUGGCUGUAGGUUUGUUAGUGGUUAUCUUGGCUGUAGGUUUGUUAGUGGUUAUCUUGGCUGUAGGUUUGUUAGUGGUUAUCUUGGCUGUGUAGGUUUGUUAGUGGUUAUCUUGGCUGUAGGUUUGUUAGUGGUUAUCUUGGCUGUGCAGCUUUUCAAUUGUGUGUUUUACUUUACACACAUGAAACUGGAUCCCCCCCCC